UACGUGCAUACAAUAUGUUUUAUUAUAUAUUAAUUUUACAUUUCAGUUACCUACCCUAUGUUCUUGAGAAGAAAAAAAAAUGCAUAUUAAGUAAUCAUAUCAUUCAGGCGAAGGUACAUAAGACGUUUGCAAGUGCAAAGUUCACUUCCCUGUACAAAAAUGAUCACCGUGCACCAUGUACACGCCGUAGGGUGCACCUAUUGCCAGAAGGCCAUACCCACAAGGCCUCCAGACAUGGCGCACCCAUAACGCAUCAUGGCCGGUGACCCAAGAGAGACCAGGAAUACUCAAUUUAAGCUGUGAGAAUACACUACACACAUUACAUACACAUUAGCCUCACGCAUUGUCAUAAAACUACAGUAGUAUGCUAAGUGGGCGAUAUAAAUAAGAUUUAUAUCCGUUUCUUAUUGAUAUAAUUUAAAAUUUAGAUAAUAGAAAUAUUUGCCUUCGUCA